GGGUCCGGGGCACCUUUUACCAAAAUUCUGGGCGUAAAGCGCACGCAGGCGGUUUGUUAGUCAGAUGUGCAUAUAAAAAGGGGGGGAAAUGCGAACUGCAUCUGAUACUGGUAUUAAAAAAAAAAGAGAGAGG
rnacentral:rRNA from 1 species